AUGAAGAUCAUAGAAUAGGUAUUUCUUUCUUUCUUUUCUUCCUCCUGUUAUCUUUCUCGGCCGGACUUUUGUUCCACACUCCAGUCCAGCAGGUGGCGGUAAAGCAUAUAUUAGCUGGACUGCCAACCGCCAAAAACACUGAAGAAGAAGGCAGCACACUUGUUUUUGUCGCUUGUUUUAUUUCUUAUAUAUCAGUCUUAUAUAUAGCAGUUGAUCAAUGCUUUUAAAAUUGUGGUAUCAUCUUUAGAGAAUCUGCAUCGAGAGAUUUGACAGAAAAUCUGACUGAUUUACAUCCACACAUCUGCUUGUGGGAGGCUCUGGAAGUGAAUAGUCAUGACUGCUGAGAGAGUGUUUGUGUUUGUUGAUGAAGAGGAGCUUUUCAGCGUGACGAAGGAUCUGGACUGUCUCUACUGUAGGAUUCCAGUCACUGCAUCUAAACAGCACCUCAGAAAGAAACAUCUCAGAUUCGCUAUAUAUUAUAAAGACUCUGGCCUCGGGAAGUUUUCUAUCCCCUGUUAUUGUUCUGAUGGAGGCCAAGGCAGGAGCCACUGGCAUUGCCCAAUGUGCUCAAAAAUAUUGCACAGGACACAGAAUUACAAAAUCCAUAUUACCAACCACGGUGUUGAGAUGACAGACAAAUCCUCAGUUGAGCUACAGCCUACAACUGUCCUGUUAGACAGCCUACAAACGGACAACGAAGACAAGACACCAGACAACAAGGCAGCGUGCCAAAAGUGUGGGAUCCUCUUUACCACAACGUCAAAUUUGAGACGGCACGAGAGACUACAGCACAGCCAGGACCAGCAGCCCAUUUUAUGCAUAGAUGCCAAAAAUGCAAUCUAUGUUACACCCAAAUAUCUGCACGGGCCGAGAGUGCCCAUUCAUAUCCGCAAGUCCUUCACCUUGCAGAUUCUGCUGUGUGAGCUGGAGGAAUGCUGGGAUUUCAUGAAAGCGCAGGCCCAGAGCGGGAAUCCUGGAAAGGAAUGCCGUCACCUGCUCCGAACGAAUCAGGCACGGCUCUACGUUCCCCCUCCACCGCUGUGCAUUAACUCUUUGGAGGAGAUGAGCCACAAACACCUCCUGUCCGCAUCCGAGAGACACGAGUGCCAGGAGAUCAACUCUAGGGCAUGUAUGCAGGGGGUGGAUUGUGUGUACCCUAUUUUUUGGGGCGAGCAUGACCUUUCAGAGAGAUGUGUCUUCUUUUCAGUGUACACCGACCUUGAGGACAAAUGGUGUCAGUUUGGGAGGACAUGCGUCUCGUUUGACACCAAGUCUGGCAGCUGGAAGUGUCUGUGUAAGCACAAAAGAAGCCGCUGCGUCCACAAGUGUUUGUCUAUGUGGUGGUUGUUUCAGGAGCGUCCUGAGCUGUUGCAGAAUGCCCUAGAUGUCCACGCGGAAAGUGUCGACGUGCUUGAGGAAGCAGCCAUGGAUGCAGAGGACGUGCUUUAGAUGACGGACUCAACAUCCGUCAGAACUUCUCUCGUUUUCUGUCUUUACUCAAUAAAAACACUGGAUGUAAC
ensembl:lncRNA uncharacterized LOC107675163